GGGGGCGUGUCCGGAUUUACUGGGCGUAAGGGCGUGUAGGCGGCACGGCAAGUUGGGUGUGAAAGCCCCCGGCUCAACUGGGGAGGGUCACUCAAAACUGCCGAGCUCGAGGCCGGUAGGGGGAGACGGAAUUCCGGGUGUAGUGGUGAAAUGCGUAGAUAUCCGGAGGAACACCGAUGGCGAAAGCGGUCUCCUGGGCCGGUCCUGACGCUGAGGCGCGAAAGCGCGGGGAGCGAACCGGAUUAGAUACCCGGGUAGUCCGCGCCCUAAACGAUGGAUACUUGGUCUGGGGGGUAUCGACCCCUCCCGGGCCGAAGCUAACGCAUUAAGUAUCCCGCCUGGGGAGUACGGCCGCAAGGUUGAAACUCAAAGGAAUUGACGGGGGCCCGCACAAGCAGCGGAGCGUGUGGUUUAAUUCGACGCAACGCGAAGAACCUUACCAGGGCUUGACAUGGCGGAAGUAGGGACCUGAAAGGGCGACGACCCGUAAAACCGGGAACCGUCACAGAUGCUGCACGGCUGUCGUCAGCUCGUGCCGUGAGGUGUUGGGUUAAGUCCCGCAACGAGCGCAACCCCCACCGCUAGUUGAAUCACUCUAGCGGAACUGCCGGGCGAAACCCGGAGGAAGGCGGGGAUGACGUCAAGUCAUCGUGGCUCUUACGCCCUGGGCCACACACACGCUACAAUGGGCGGUACAAAGGGCUGCCAAGCCGCAAGGCGGAGCGAAUCCCAUAAAACCGCCCUCAGUUCAGAUUGCAGGCUGCAACUCGCCUGCAUGAAGUCGGAGUUGCUAGUAACCGCCGGUCAGCACACGGCGGUGAAUGCGUUCCCGGGCCUUGUACACACCGCCCGUCACGUCAUGAAAGCUGGCAAUGCCUGAAGCCGGUGGGCUAACCCUUCGGGAGGCAGCCGUCGAAAGCAGGGCUGGUGAUUGGGACGAAGUCGUAACAAGGUAACC
rnacentral:rRNA from 1 species